rnacentral:rRNA from 1 species
GAUGAACGCUGGCGGCGUGCCUAAUACAUGCAAGUCGAGCGAACAGACGAGGAGCUUGCUCCUCUGACGUUAGCGGCGGACGGGUGAGUAACACGUGGAUAACCUACCUAUAAGACUGGGAUAACUUCGGGAAACCGGAGCUAAUACCGGAUAAUAUAUUGAACCGCAUGGUUCAAUAGUGAAAGACGGUUUUGCUGCCACUUAUAGAUGGAUCCGCGCCGCAUUAGCUAGUUGGUAAGGUAACGGCUUACCAAGGCAACGAUGCGUAGCCGACCUGAGGGGGUGAUCGGCCACACUGGAACUGAGACACGGUCCAGACUCCUACGGGAGGCAGCAGUAGGGAAUCUUCCGCAAUGGGCGAAAGCCUGACGGAGCAACGCCGCGUGAGUGAUAAAGGUCUUCGGAUCGUAAAACUCUGUUAUUAGGGAAGAACAAAUGUGUAAGUAACUAUGCACGUCUUGACGGUACCUAAUCAGAAAGCCACGGCUAACUACGUG